UUUAACCCUCCCGGCGCACGCAACCUCUCCUUCCCCCUGCUCGAAUCCUCGUUCCUCUCUGCCGCCGCCUCUCGCUCCUCUCUUGAGCCCUUACCCUCGACCCGCAAAGCGUCAUGGCCGUUGCCGGGAUAGGGCCGGGUAGUGUAGGCGAGGAAGAGAGGGUUGGCUGCGUUUGGCGUCCCUGAAGUAUCAGGGGAGGGCGGGACGCCGGGCGAGGGUGGCGUGGAGUUCCGUGGCCAUGGUGGUGGGAGGGGUGGCUCCUUGUUCUCGUGCAACCACAAUAUCCGACGGCAUCCCACGGUGCUCCGUCGGCCUGGGCUGCCCCGCAAGGUUCUUCUCCGGCGACAACGUGAUAGAGUUCGGCUGUAACAAGGCAUGGCACGGACGUGCACAGGGCAAGCCAAGUUCAAUCCGGGCCGCCGAUUCCUCAUCGAGUAGGUCGACCAAUCGAUCCAUGGCAUCGUCGAGUCCGCCAUGGUCUGACCUCCCACGUGACAUCAUAGGCCUCGUCAUCGACCGCCUCCCGUAAGUCGUCGCCGCAGCUCCUGGUCGGCGGCGUGUUCUUGGAUGCUACGAUCGCUCCUAGCUAGACAGCUUUCCGGUGGCAGACUCCGACGACCGCGCUCACUUCCGCACAGCAUAUCGUUCCUGGAGCACUAUCGCCCUGUGAGCGAUAUCACUUCUUGAUUCCACAUGGUAAUAUAAAUGGGAAAUGUUUCUGUACGACACGCCGGCCGAGUGAUUUGGCCGGUUACAUGUUGGGCGUUGGAUUAAACACGAUUUAACCAAUCAUUUGUUUUUUCUGCCACAUAUUUUUCUCAUCUGAACCUUAUCUCUUCCGCAGUGCUCCGCCUCGGCUUCUCCGCCAUAGCCUUAGCAGCUUCGAGCAGUCCUUCCUUCGCACCUUGCGCCGCACCUCCUCCAUGGGACGCUGCUCCCAUGGAUCGUCACCCCGAGGCACUGCUACGACAUGGCGCCAUGGCCUUUGAGCUCAUAGGUCAAGGCCGCCACGGCUUACGAGCUCGGGGCGAACAGAGACGGAGGACAGCUACGAGCUGCUGUGGGUGCCAUGGCCUAUAAGCUUGGGGUGGACGACGACAUGGAUGACUAUGAGCUGCUAUUGACGACAUCGUCGAGCAUUUUGCUACGGGGAGAAUCUCAUCGGAGCUGGGAGCACAACCGACACCUCCCAUGUUACAACCGGUGUUCCAAAAAGCUGCCACAGGCACCGCAAGAAGCUGCAACCAACGACGUCAAAUGCUGGAACCGACCAGCAUCAUAGCAAAAAGCUACAACCGGCUUUCAAAAAAGCUUCAACCGGCGUCCCAAAAAGCUUCAACGAUGACGACAAAUGCCAGGGCUGGUUACUGUUAAUACCAAAAAUGAUGCAACCGCAUUGCAAAAAGUUACAACCGGCAUCGCAAAAAGCUUCAACCAGCAAUGAAGGAAAUCAUGGCCGAACGUUGAUGAAAGCUGCAAGCGACCAAAAAAAAGCUUCAACGACGAACGAGGGAGCUUCAUCCACGAUCAGGAGAUGCUACAACCAUGGUUGGCAUUACUGGAGCGGUUGCGGAGAUGCUUCAAUCAUGGAUGGUCUUUGCUGGAUGUCCAGCGUUGCAGGAGGGAGAAAGGAAGGAGGAAGACGCUGGGAAGAGGGACGGCGUGCAGCAACAGUGAGCCAACGAGCGGCGCGACGGGAGCUGCAAGUGGGAGGUCAUGCGGGGGCGACUAGCAAGCAGGCGCCGUGUGAGAAGAAGAAGACGCCUUGCAAAAUUAAUCGUACGGUUACGGACGUUCGGAUCGUGCGGCUGCCAGACGGCCGGCAAAAAGUUUUGGACCAGCGUGUCGGCACAGAGUACUCGUCAAUAUAAAUUGAUUCACAAGGAAACUAAUGCAAGGCCACACAAUAGGUUUUUCGAUAAUGUGCGUUUGGUGGGAGAAGAAGUUUAUGUCGACUACAAAGGCGUCCAUGGCGACUAUACGCUGGCUCAAUUUCUUAAAGGUGUCCACAUAGAUAGGUUAUGCGUGUCUGCGUUCAUAGCGGUGAGUGUAUGUGCUUAAGUAUGAGCGUAUGCAUUUGUACCAUGUUAAAAAUACAUACUAGAAUAUUUAUAUUCUGUUGUAACGCACCGAUAGUUACCUAGUUAAGACAAAAUGAAAGUGUCAUUUUUGUUAUAAGCAAAAGGAAGAGUAAAUAAAGAAUGCAUAUAAUCCCAAUAUCAGGCGCGCAUCAUAAAUGAAAAAAAAGGUAAGUCAUCAUGCAUGGAUAUAGAAGAAAAAACAAAGAAAUGGCUCAAAUUAGGGACAAAAGACAGUAUUAUCAGUAAAGGUAUGGCACAUCCAUAAAUCUAUUAUAGUUUCCUCACAUAAAAAUCAUGUUAUGACUAGUUUUUAUUUGUUUAUGCGUGCAGUUCCAUGGAAGAAGCAGGGGGACACUCGGGGUGACAGGUGGGGCAUUUGUUCCUGCACUCAUCCUCCGAACUGAAGCACUUUUUGUCCGGCAGAAUGUCACAGCAGAAGCAGGUUUUCCAAAGGCCAUCAGCAUGACUACAUCCCGCCUUGAUGCAGAAUUUUAUGGAAAGCUUGCUCUCGUCUAGUGACGAUGUCGUGUUGACCAUAGUAGCUGCUCCGGCGGCACGAUCCUCUAGGUAGGAGCUCCUUGUUCCAGCAUCAAAA